rnacentral:rRNA from 1 species
GACGAACGCUGGCGGCGUGCUUAACACAUGCAAGUCGUACGGUAAGGCCCUUUCGGGGGUACACGAGUGGCGAACGGGUGAGUAACACGUGAGUAACCUGCCCACAACUUUGGGAUAACGCUAGGAAACUGGUGCUAAUACUGGAUAUGUGCUCCUGCUGCAUGGUGGGGGUUGGAAAGCUCCGGCGGUUGUGGAUGGACUCGCGGCCUAUCAGCUUGUUGGUGGGGUAGUGGCCUACCAAGGCGGCGACGGGUAGCCGGCCUGAGAGGGUGACCGGCCAAAUGGGGACGGAGAUACGGCCCCGACCCCUACGGGGGGCAGAAGGGGGGAAUAUUGCAAAAUGGGCGCAAGCCUGAUGCAGCAACGCCGCGGGCGGGAUGACGGCCUUCGGGUUUUAACCCGUUUUCAGGAGGGACGAAGCUUUUUGUGACGGUACCUGCAGAAGAAGCACCGGCUAACUACGU